AUUAGUUCAAAUAAACAUAACUGCUUAUUUGGAUGUAGCUAGCUAUUUUACAGUGAGAACGCAAGGAUCAAAAGUAGCGAGCUGCUCCUGCCACUAGCCUUGCCCAUGUCCAAUGGAUAGAGAAGGACAGCAGAGGUAACAUAAUUCACCAAAGACCUGGACAAAAAAGGUCUAAGAAGGCCUCAAGACAUGACGCCAGGCAAAGGAGUGUGUGUCACGUCAGAGUGGACAGCGGCCAAAGAGACAUCAGGAGGGCCUUGAGAUAGCAGUUGGACGACACGGCGUGCUCCUCAAGGCCCUCAACAUGUACAGAGGCGAAAUCCAGUUGAAGUUGGACGUUUACAUACAACUUAGCCAAAUACAUUUAAACUCAGUUUUUCACAA